CGGGGUGUAGCUCAGCUUGAUUAGAGCGGUCGCUUUGGGAGCGACAGGCCGAAGGUUUGAAUCCUUCCACUCCGA
rnacentral:tRNA from 1 species